AUUUCUGGGGCUUCGGGCAGAUUGCUCCAUGCAGGUGCCUGACACAUCCACAACUGAGCAUUAUUUGGACAGCAAGGAGAUCAAACCAGUCAAUCCUAAAGGAAAUCAACCCUGAAUAUUAAUUGGAAGGACUGAUGCUGAAGCUGAAACUCCAAUACUUUGGCUACCUGCUACAAAGAGCUGACUCAUUGGAAAAGACCCCGAUGCUGGGAAAGAUUGAGGGCAGGAGGAGAAGGAGACGACAGAGGAUGAGAUGGUUGGAUGGCAUUACCAACUCGAUGGACAUGAGUUUGAGCAAACUCUAAGCAACAG
ensembl:lncRNA